rnacentral:lncRNA from 1 species
AUUUAUCCUCCCUUAUACCUCUAAUUUCCUAGAAAUGGAAGGGGCAAGUCUUGUAAUCCCCAUUGGACACGGAUUCCUUGACUAAUUACUACUGAAUUUUAGUUAAAAUUCCAAUAAAUCCCGACAAAAUCUCCUAACUUGAUCAAAUCUGUGCUGGUUAGCCAUGAUGCAAAGAACAAAAAAAAUAGAAAAAAAAUAAAGACCAGACUAUGAUAAACCAUCCUUUUGUCUCUGAAGGGUCCCACUUCUCUCAUUCCAUGUCAGCUGAUCAUGUCGCAAUUUAUAUACUUUCACCCUUUAGCCUUUUCCUCCCCUGUAAUCAAAAC